UGUUAAUUAGAAACUCAACAGCCUGUUGGCCAAAUUUUCUCCUUCGCUCUUGCUCACUCCGUCUCUUUGCUCUCCUCAAUUUAUCAUCUUACUCUGGGUGUUUAAUAUUUUGCUACGAUUUGCAGCUUAGAUCUGCUGCCUCUACAGCUAUCAGAUGAGAAAGACUAAAGAUGGAAUGAAGGCUGACAGGUUUUUAAGAUCCGCAUCUGCCGACUCUGAUCCGCUUGUUCUUGACAUAGAUGAUUUUAAGGGGGCUUUCUCCUUUGAUGGAUUGUUUGGUAACUUGGUGAAUGAGAUAUUACCUUCUUAUCAAGAAGAAGAAUCAGAUUCAGCGGAAGGGCAUGUAAAUGGUGUUGGAAGUGAUGCUCUACCAAAUGGGAAUUUGCGAGCACCGCCAGAUGCGGGAAAGUCAGCACAAGGACUGUCAAGUCCCCUAUUCCCUGAAGUUGAUGCUUUAUUAUCCUUAUUUAAGAAUUCUUGUAAACAGCUGGUUGAUCUCAGAAAACAGAUUGAUGGGAACCUUGGCGAUCUUAAAAAGGAAGUCGCGGUCCAAGAUUCAGAGCACCGGAAGACACUUUCUGAGCUGGAAAAAGGUGUAGACGGCUUGUUUGAUAGCUUUGCACGGUUGGAUUUGCGUAUAUCUAGUGUUGGCCAAACGGCUGCCAAAAUAGGAGAUCAUCUACAGAGUGCAGAUGCUCAGAGAGAAGUUGCUAGUCAAACGAUAGAGCUCAUAAAGUACUUGAUGGAGUUCAAUGGCAGUCCAGGAGACCUGAUGGAACUUUCUCCUUUAUUUUCUGAUGAUAGUCGUGUCGCUGAAGCUGCUUCGAUUGCUCAAAAAUUAAGAUCAUUUGCUGAGGAUGAUAUUGGAGGACAAACCAUGGCUGUCUCAUCAGCUGUCGGUAAUGCAACUGCGAGUAGAGGACUGGAAGUUGCUGUUGCCAACCUCCAAGAAUACUGCAAUGAGUUGGAAAACAGACUACUAGCUCGAUUUGAUUUGGCUUCACAGAAACGCGAGCUGUCUACAAUGCGGGAAUGUGCUAAAAUUUUGUCACAGUUUAACAGGGGUACCAGUGCUAUGCAACACUAUGUCGGAUUAUGUCCAAUGUUCGAUGUGGAGGUCAUGAAUGCAGAUGCUGAAUUGGUUCUUGGAGAUCAGGGUUCACAACCCAGCCCUAGCAAUGUUGCGCGUGGUCUUUCUUCAAUUUUUAAAGAGAUUACAGAGACUGUGCGGAAAGAAUCAGCCACAAUAGCAGCUGUUUUUCCAUCCCCAAAUGAUGUAAUGUCAAUACUAGUUCAGCGUGUCUUGGAAGAUCGUGUUCCAAAGCUACUUGAGAAACUCUUACUGAAACCCUCUCUUGUUAGUCUACCUCCCAUGGAAGAAGGAGGACUUAUAUUAUAUCUCAGAUUGCUAGCUGUGGCAUAUGAGAAGACACAGGAGCUUGCUAGAGACUUACGUGGUGUAGGGUGUGGUGACUUGGAUGUUGAAGGUUUAACGGAAUCUCUGUUUCUACCCCACAAAGACGUAUACAUUGAAUACGAGCAGGCUUCUCUUAGACAACUUUACAAAGCUAAGAUGGAGGAGUUGCGUGCUGAAGGACAGCAAUCCUCCGAGUCAUCUGGGACAAUUGGACGCUCAAAAGGUGCUGCAAUGGCAUCCUCUCACCAGCAAAUUUCUGUUACUGUAGUGACAGAGUUUGUUCGUUGGAAUGAAGAAGCAAUAUCCAGAUGCACUCUGUUUUCAUCACAGCCUGCUGCAAUUGCUGCUAACGUAAGGGCCGUUUUUACAUGCCUUCUAGACCAAGUGAGUAUAUACAUUACUGAAGGUCUUGAAAGAGCCAGAGACAGUCUCACUGAGGCUGCUGCUUUAAGGGAAAGAUUUGUACUUCCUAGUGUAAGUCGAAGGGUUGCUGCUGCAGCUGCUUCCGCGGCAGAAGCAGCAGCAGCUGCUGGGGAAAGCAGUUUCAGAUCUUUCAUGGUUUCUGUGCAGCGCUGUGGGAGCAGUGUGGCUAUUGUGCAGCAAUACUUUGCAAAUUCUAUAUCUCGGCUUUUACUACCUGUGGAUGGUGCGCAUGCUUCUUCUUGUGAAGAAAUGGCUACAGCUAUGUCAAGUGCAGAGGGUGCUGCUUAUAAGGGGCUUCAGCAGUGCAUUGAAACUGUUAUGGCAGAGGUGGAACGCGUGCUGUCAACUGAACAAAAAGUCGCCGAUUAUCGAUCACCUGAUGACAGCAUUGUCCCUGACCAUCGGCCAACGCAAGCUUGUUCAAAAGUUGUCGCAUACCUUUCGAGGGUUCUUGAAUCUGCAUUCACAGCUCUGGAAGGGCUUAACAAACAAGCCUUUCUGACUGAAUUGGGGAAUCGUUUACACAAAGGCUUGCUUAAUCAUUGGCAAAAGUUCACCUUCAAUGCAAGUGGAGGAUUGCGUUUGAAGCGUGAUAUUACAGAGUAUGGGGAGUUUGUUCGUAGCUUCAAUGCUCCUUCUGUUGAUGAGAAAUUUGAACAGCUGGGCAUCAUGGCAAAUGUAUUUAUUGUUGCUCCUGAAAGUCUUUCCACACUCUUUGAGGGAACCCCGAGCAUUAGGAAAGAUGCACAAAGAUUCAUUCAGCUUCGGGAGGACUACAAGAGUGCAAAAAUUGCAGCAAGACUCAGCUCCUUAUGGCCCAGCUCUAGUUAGAACUGAGGUCAAUGGGUUCUUACAAUAGUGGUGAGCUUGAUUGUAUUAUAUGGCGAGGGCUUUUCCACCUACCAUACUUGCUGUCUUUUACCUGAGCUCAAAGAUAGAGUAACAUUGCUAAUUCAGAGUAAUUGAUCCUUGGAAGUUCAUAUGCAGCCCUGUGGAAUCAUUAUUUAUUGUUUUCUUCAGGAUCUGCGGGUGCAUGUUUUGAAACUAUGUAUCGAACAUGCAUCAGGACUAGCUGGACAGAAGUAUGAUCCUUCAACAUGUGUUUACAAAUUAAUGUUUUGAGGUGCGAGUUAGUAUGAUAUGUCGUGAUAAUAAUGAAAAAGAUGAAAAUAUAUAUAUGAGAUUGAUGAGGAUGUAAAUCCAUGAUUGCCAUGUGAUUGUUGGAUUGUAAAGUUCACGAUUACUUGUGAAAUCUGUUCGUGCUUAUAUGUAUUUGUUGCUGACAUUUCUCAGCUGAUUUGGAAUGAUUGUUUGAUUGAGGAAACUACUUAUUAUGUGUUGA